UACAGAGGUCUCAAGCGUUGUUCGGAUUCAUUGGGCGUAAAGGGUGCGUAGGCGGCCUAUUAAGUCAGUGCUGAAAUAUCCCGGCUUAACCCGGGAGGGUGGCAUUGAUACUGAUGGGCUUGAGUAGAGUUGAGGUUGGCGGAAUUGACGGUGUAGCGGUGAAAUGCUUAGAUAUCGUCAAGAACACCUAUUGCGAAGGCAGCUAACUAAGCUCAAACUGACGCUGAGGCACGAAAGUGUGGGGAUCAAACAGG
rnacentral:rRNA from 1 species